rnacentral:rRNA from 1 species
CCUACGGGUGGCAGCAGUGGGGAAUAUUGCACAAUGGGGGAAACCCUGAUGCAGCGACGCCGCGUGAGUGAAGAAGUAUUUCGGUACGUAAAGCUCUAUCAGCAGGGAAGAUAAUGACGGUACCUGACCAAGAAGCCCCGACUAACUACGGGCAAGCAGCCGCGGGAAUACGUAGGGGGCAAGCGUUAUCCGGAUUUACUGGGUGGAAAGGGAGGGUAGACGGCAGCGCAAGUCUGGAGUGAAAUCCCAUGGCUUAACCCGGGAACUGCUUUGGAAACUGUGCAGCUGGAGUGCAGGAGCGGUAAGCGGAAUUCCUAGUGUAGCGGUGAAAUGCGUAGAUAUUAGGAGGAACACCAGUGGCGAAGGCGGCUUACUGGACUGUAACUGACGUUGAGGCUCGAAAGCGUGGGGAGCAAACAGGAUUAGAUACCCCAGUAGUU